UCCGAGUUGACCCCGGCAGUCUCCUAUGAGUCCCCGGCAUAACCCGCUGGCAACAUAGAACGAGGGUUGCGCUCGUUGCGGGACUUAACCCAACAUCUCACGACACGAGCUGACGACAACCAUGCACCACCUGUACACCGCCCUUGCGGACCCCGUAUCUCUACGAGUUUUCGGUGUAUGUCAAGCCUUGGUAAGGUUCUUCGCGUUGCGUCGAAUUAAGCCACAUGCUCCGCUGCUUGUGCGGGCCCCCGUCAAUUCCUUUGAGUUUUAGCCUUGCGGCCGUACUCCCCAGGCGGGGUGCUUAAUGCGUUAGCUGCGGCACGAACGGCGUGGAAUACCGCUCACACCUAGCACCCACCGUUUACGGCGUGGACUAC
rnacentral:misc_RNA from 1 species